UGGCUCAGUUGGUAGAGCAUAGUGUUUGCAAUGCCAGGGUUGUGGGUUCGAGUCCCAC
rnacentral:tRNA from 1 species